CCUUUUAGUGAGCCAACAGGACUCCCAGUAGAUCAAGUUUGGAUGUGGCCUCUGGGAUCUACUACAUCCCAAUAGCCUGGUAAAUCAGUUUAAAACAGAAUGUCUCAAAGACCUGGUCAGCUUUAAGGUGAGCGAUGAGGACCUUGGAAAGUGAAAGGACUGUAUUUGCCCUGAAGCUCCUAGUUCAGAAAGCUUCAAGCAAAUGCCAGCUCUGCCAGACCUGAUUUACUUACAAAUGCAGUUCAUGAAUUUCCAACUAUAAUUACUGCCAUAUAUCUAUUGCUUCAUUGUUUCAAACAAGUAGGAGGAGCAGUGUCCAAAUGAUCGAUGGUGGGGACUGGAGAUGACAUUGAGGAUAUUGAGAUAGUUGUGACUGAGAGGAUGGGAUGCUAGACUCUGUUGGGCAAUUCAGUGUUGAGAUGAGUCAGCCUCAAAUCAUUUACACGGGUGGAUGCUGAAGAUUAAAAUUUAUGGAUCUG